GAAGGGGGGGGGGAGUUUUCGAGAUGCUAAAAUAAAAAAAGAAAAAAAAAAGAAAAUAUAAUCGCGCUCCCUGGAAUAAGGGGUGGAAACGAGUUUUGCAUCUUGCUCGUUCGACUCGGAAUUCCGGGUCCCCGGGGAACCCCCUCGUUCGUUGGUUCGUUCGACGAGGGGUGGGCAAAACUCCGAUUCCAUAUUCUACCGCCCCCGCUCGGACAAAACCUAAUCUUCAAGAGCCGAUCGGGAGCAAUGGGGAAACGUUGUUUGGAAUCGGUUGGGAAAACGGUGAAACGGAGGGGCUUAAAGAUAAACGCCUCC